rnacentral:lncRNA from 12 species
UGGGGGUUUUGGGGCCGAUUUUGGGGUUUCAGGGAUAUUUCUUGGGGUCCCUGAGCCGAUUUUGGGGUUCCUGAGUUGAUUUUGGGGAUUUCAGGGAUGUUUUGGGGCCGAUUUUGGGGGUUUUGGGGCCGAUUUUGGGCCGAUUUUGGGUGUUUCAGGGAUGUUUUUUGAGGUCCAUGAGCCGAUUUUGGGGGGUUUUGGGGCCGAUUUUGGUGUUUCAGGGACAUUUUUUGGGGUUUUGGUGCCGAUUUUGGGGUUUCAGGGACAUUUUUUGGAGUUUUUGGUGCCGAUUUUGG